CUUCCGGUAGCUCAGUCGGACGAGCGAGUAUGUUCAAGUGACAAGUCCUUCCAAAUAGUUUGCGUUGCAUCAUACUGAGGCUGGUUCGAGUCCAGCCCGGAGGG